UUGCGUGAUGGAAACACUCUGAACGCGCCCAGUCUCCUCUGAUCUCAGACGCUAAGCAGGGUCAGGCCUGGUUAGUUCUUGGAUAGGAAACAGUGAGAUCAUCAGUGAGCGGUGCCAU
rnacentral:rRNA from 1 species